rnacentral:misc_RNA from 1 species
AAAGUCGUAACAAGGUAACCGUAGGUGAACCUGCGGUUGGAUCAUUAAAAAAGUGGGGUGCUUUAGUGCGCCCCUUCUUGGGUGAAUGUCGCAAGACUGCAGCCCAAUAAACCUUGUGCAAUUUGGCAGGAUACCAGAGUGUAACUACUCUUAGGCCUGCCCAUUUAUAAACAACCACUUUUAAAAGUCUGAAUGAGAAACACCAAUGAGAAACAACUUUUGACAACGGAUCUCUUGGCUCUC